GAAAUGCGAUAAGUAAUGUGAAUUGCAGAAUUCAGUGAAUCAUCGAAUCUUUGAACGCACAUUGCGCCCGCCAGUAUUCUGGCGGGCAUGCCUGUUCGAGCGUCAUUUCAACCAUCAAGCCCCCGGCUUGUGUUGGGAACCUGCGGCUGCCCGCAGGCCCUGAAAAACAGUGGCGGGCUCGCUGUCACACCGAGCGUAGUAGCAUACAUUCUCGCUCAGGGCGUGCUGCGGGUUCCGGCCGUUAACGACCUUCAUAACCCAAGGUUGACCUCGGAUCAGGUAGGAAGACCCGCUGAACUUAAGC
rnacentral:misc_RNA from 1 species